rnacentral:rRNA from 1 species
AGUGAACGCUGGCGGCAGGCCUAACACAUGCAAGUCGAACGGCAGCACAGUAAGAGCUUGUUCUUACGGGUGGCGAGUGGCGGACGGGUGAGGAAUACAUCGGAAUCUACUUUUUCGUGGGGGAUAACGUAGGGAAACUUACGCUAAUACCGCAUACGACCUACGGGUGAAAGCAGGGGAUCUUCGGACCUUGCGCGAUUGAAUGAGCCGAUGUCGGAUUAGCUAGUUGGCGGGGUAAAGGCCCACCAAGGCGACGAUCCGUAGCUGGUCUGAGAGGAUGAUCAGCCACACUGGAACUGAGACACGGUCCAGACUCCUACGGGAGGCAGCAGUGGGGAAUAUUGGACAAUGGGCGCAAGCCUGAUCCAGCCAUACCGCGUGGGUGAAGAAGGCCUUCGGGUUGUAAAGCCCUUUUGUUGGGGAAGAAAAGCAGCAGGUUAAUACCCCGCUGUUCUGACGGUACCCAAAGAAUAAGCACCGGCUAACUUCGUG